UGACUCAACGCGGGAAACCUUACUAGGGUAAGACAUUGAUAUGAUUGACAGACUACUUGAUCUUUCUUGAUUUGGUGGGUGGUGGUGCAUGGCCGAUCUUAGUUGGUGGGGUGACCCGUCUGGUUAAUUUCGAUAACGAACGAGAUCCGAGCUGUUUAGUUGGCGUGCGGUGUAUUACACCGGUACGUUUCCUAUAUGGACUGUCAGUUGAAAACUGAAGGAAGUUUCGGGCGAAAUCAGGUCUGUGAUGCCCUUAGACACUCUAGGCGGCACGCGCGCUACACUGGGAGGCUGAACGUGUUGCUACCACUUAACAGUGGGGUGAAUCACGAAAUCCGACCCGUGAAUGGGAUAGUUUGUUGCAAUUUUCGGACUUGAACUAGGAAUCCCUUGUAAACGUGCUCAAGAAUAGCGCGUUGAAUACGUCCCUGCCGUUUGUACACACCGCCCGUCGUUUCUUCCGACUGAUACUCAUUGUGAGUUGCAAGGAUCUGUAAUGGAAAAUUGCCGCAAAUGCUUUGUAUUGGAGGAAGAAAAAGUCGUAACAAGGUUAUC
rnacentral:rRNA from 1 species